rnacentral:pre_miRNA from 1 species
GCACUUAGAGCUUUCCAAAUAAAUUAUCCUUUGGACUAAAAUUUCUCAUGCUUAUUCAUGGUCCAAAGGAGAAUAAAUUUUUGAAAGUUCAGUA